GCAGGUCUCUGGGCUGUAACUGACGCUGGAGGAGCGAAAGCAUGGGGACGUGAACAGGAUUAGAUACCCUGGUAGUCCAUGCCGUAAACGUUGGGAACUAGGUGUGGGGACCAUUCCACGGUUUCCGCGCCGCAGCUAACGCAUUAAGUGCCCCGCCUGGGGAGUACGGCCGCAAGGCUAAAACUCAAAGGAAUUGACGGGGGCCCGCACAAGCGGCGGAGCAUGCGGAUUAAUUCGAUGCAACGCGAAGAACCUUACCAAGGCUUGACAUGUUCUCGAUCGCCGUAGAGAUACGGUUUCCCCUUUGGGGCGGGUUCACAGGUGGUGCAUGGUUGUCGUCAGCUCGUGUCGUGAGAUGUUGGGUUAAGUCCCGCAACGAGCGCAACCCUCGUUCCAUGUUGCCAGCACGUAGUGGUGGGGACUCAUGGGAGACUGCCGGGGUCAACUCGGAGGAAGGUGAGGACGACGUCAAAUCAUCAUGCCCCUUAUGUCUUGGGCUUCACGCAUGCUACAAUGGCCGGUACAAUGGGUUGCGAUACUGUGAGGUGGAGCU
rnacentral:rRNA from 1 species